rnacentral:rRNA from 1 species
UACGUAGGGUGCGAGCGUUGUCCGGAAUUAUUGGGCGUAAAGAGCUUGUAGGCGGUUUGUCGCGUCUGCCGUGAAAAUCCGGGGCUCAACCUCGGACUUGCGGUGGGUACGGGCAGACUAGAGUGUGGUAGGGGAGACUGGAAUUCCUGGUGUAGCGGUGAAAUGCGCAGAUAUCAGGAGGAACACCGAUGGCGAAGGCAGGUCUCUGGGCCACUACUGACGCUGAGAAGCGAAAGCGUGGGGAGCGAACAGG